UCAAUUUCUGCCCUAUCAACUUUCGAUGGUAGGAUAGUGGCCUACCAUGGUUUCAACGGGUAACGGGGAAUUAGGGUUCUAUUCCGGAGAGGGAGCCUGAGAAACGGCUACCACAUCCAAGGAAGGCAGCAGGCGCGCAAAUUACCCAAUCCCGACACGGGGAGGUAGUGACAAUAAAUACUGAUACAGGGCUCUUUUGAGUCUUGUAAUUGGAAUGAGUACAAUUUAAAUCCCUUAACGAGGAACAAUUGGAGGGCAAGUCUGGUGCCAGCAGCCGCGGUAAUUCCAGCUCCAAUAGCGUAUAUUAAAGUUGUUGCAGUUAAAAAGCUCGUAGUUGAACCUUGGGCCUGGCUGGCCGGUCCGCCUCACCGCGUGCACUGGUCCGGCCGGGCCUUUCCUCCUGGGGAGCCGCAUGCCCUUCACUGGGUGUGUCGGGGAACCAGGACUUUUACUUUGAAAAAAUUAGAGUGUUCAAAGCAGGCCUAUGCUCGAAUACAUUAGCAUGGAAUAAUAGAAUAGGACGUGUGGUUCUAUUUUGUUGGUUUCUAGGACCGCCGUAAUGAUUAAUAGGGAUAGUCGGGGGCAUCAGUAUUCAAUUGCAGAAGUGAAAUUCUUGGAUUUAUUGAAGACUAACUACUGCGAAAGCAUUUGCCAAGGAUGUUUUCAUUAAUCAGUGAACGAAAGUUAGGGGAUCGAAGACGAUCAGAUACCGUCGUAAUCUUAACCAUAAACUAUGCCACUAGGGAUCGGCGAUGUUAUCUUUUGACUCCUCGCACCUUACAAAAAUCAAAGUUUUG
rnacentral:rRNA from 1 species